AGAGUUUGAUCAUGGCUCAGGACGAACGCUGGCGGCGUGCCUAAUACAUGCAAGUCGAGCGGACGGAUGAAGAAGCUUGCUUCUUCUGAGGUUAGCGGCGGACGGGUGAGUAACACGUAGGCAACCUGCCCUCAAGACGGGGAUAACUACCGGAAACGGUAGCUAAUACCAGAUAGGUCACGUUCUCGCAUGAGGAAGUG
rnacentral:rRNA from 1 species